AUUGAACGCUGGCGGCAUGCUUUACACAUGCAAGUCGAACGGUAACAGGGAGCUUGCUCCGCUGACGAGUGGCGAACGGGUGAGUAAUGCGUCGGAACGUGCCGAGCAGUGGGGGAUAACGCAUCGAAAGGUGUGCUAAUACCGCAUACGUACUGAGGUAGAAAGUGGGGGACCUUCGGGCCUCACGCUAUACGAGCGGCCGACGUCUGAUUAGCUAGUUGGUGAGGUAAAGGCUCACCAAGGCGACGAUCAGUAGCGGGUCUGAGAGGAUGAUCCGCCACACUGGGACUGAGACACGGGCCAGACUCCUACGGGAGGCAGCAGUGGGGAAUUUUGGACAAUGGGCGCAAGCCUGAUCCAGCCAUGCCGCGUGUCUGAAGAAGGCCUUCGGGUUGUAAAGGACUUUUGUCCGGGAGCAAAUGCCUGGUGUUAAUAGCACUGGGAGCUGAGAGUACCGGAAGAAUAAGCACCGGCUAACUACGUGCCAGCCGCCGCCGUAAAAC
rnacentral:rRNA from 1 species